GACGAACGCUGGCGGCGUGCCUAAUACAUGCAAGUUGAGCGCUGAAGGUUGGUACUUGUACCAACUGGAUGAGCAGCGAACGGGUGAGUAACGCGUGGGGAAUCUGCCUUUGAGCGGGGGACAACAUUUGGAAACGAAUGCUAAUACCGCAUAAAAACUUUAAACACAAGUUUUAAGUUUGAAAGAUGCAAUUGCAUCACUCAAAGAUGAUCCCGCGUUGUAUUAGCUAGUUGGUGAGGUAAAGGCUCACCAAGGCGAUGAUACAUAGCCGACCUGAGAGGGUGAUCGGCCACAUUGGGACUGAGACACGGCCCAAACUCCUACGGGAGGCAGCAGUAGGGAAUCUUCGGCAAUGGACGAAAGUCUGACCGAGAAACGCCGCGGGAGUGAAGAAGGUUUUCGGAUCGUAAAACUCUGUUGGUAGAGAAGAGCGUUGGUGAGAGUGGAAAGCUCAUCAAGUGACGGUAACUACCCAGAAAGGGACGGCUAACUACGUG
rnacentral:rRNA from 1 species